rnacentral:lncRNA from 1 species
UUCCUUGUAUAAAGGGGGUGGAUAGUGCAGGUUUGAGUCAUCACACAAGUGCAAAACGCAAGGGCUAGACAAGUUAACUUAUUUGGCAAUUCAUUUAAAGGUAAGGCUCUUCAAUAUAAAAAUAAUAAUUUAUUUUAACUCCGUUUGUUUACUUUAACUUUGGGUGGGUUUCACUAAGCCUAACACAUAGGGAAACGCUUGGUGGUCGACUUUACACGUAUUGACGCUUUAUGUUUUGUGGAAGCGAACAAAUGUCGCCAAAUUGCAUGCAUUUGCCAAACACAAAGCAAUUACAAAUAUAAUGAAAAAUUAACUCACUCUGGUAAAUGUGUUUCAUCUUGGAGUUGAUCACCAAGCACUAAAUCUACCACGUGACUGAAAUCCAGCUAUUUAAAGUAGAAAUUGUACUACUGCUAAGGAUCAAAGCUAUCUCCUUAAAGGUGAUCUACAGUCCGAUCUGCGCAUGUGCACAAAUGAGCCCACUUUUUAUGAUACAAACAGUUUAACUAUGUUUUGAGUUCUUGAAAAGCCUGAUUGUUGUUUCUUGAUCAUUUAUUAUACUCUAGAAGCUUGAAAAUAUAAAUAGUUGUCGAAUAAAGCUCAAUAUUUUGGACACAAAAAUGUAAACAAAUGCUUUGUUUACAUACGGACUGUAGAUCACCUUUAAAGGAGUUAAAGCUUUCUGGGCGCUAUGUACCUCUCUGGAAAUCUAUGGUAUUUUAUUAUUUUACUCUGGCUAUUGCCAGACGACCAAUCUUUCGGUCCGAAAAGAGUUCACUUCGAUCUUCUCGGUUCAAAUGAAAUAAUUUACCAGAUCACAAAGAUAUUUUGAGCAGGGCGAGUUUCAAGUAGGUAAACGUGCUUAUUUGGAGCUAAAAUCUUAUCCUUGUAUCUUUUAUGUAGCAACAAAAAAAACGAUGUCCAGCUUUGUUUUGUUCUUCAGCAUUUUUUUCCUUUCUCUUGUGGCCUCAGGUAAUUUUCUUGAACAUAUAAAGUCGAAUAGGUUAAGAUGUGUUUUUGUAUUCUUUCUCCUUUUCACUCGUGAAAUGCGAAGCAUAUCGCGCGUUGUAAUGUACUUUAGCCUGUGUCACAGUUCUCACUCGGCUUGGUCAGACAGACUCGAGAUCUGUUAAAGCGCAAUUAAAAAAUUGCCAUAUAGCGACGUUCGAGCUCAAUUGUUGUCUUAUUCCUUUCCUUAAUCUUGUCCUUUUCUUUCCUGUUCUUCUUCCCCUUCUCUUCCAUCUCUUCUCCAUCUUUCAUGCUUUUCAGUGUUUUUUCUUUAUCUCCUCUUUUUCCUUUUCCUAAUUCUCCUCCUUCAACCUCUUCUCCAGGCUCUUCCCUCAACAAGAUGGAAGAGCCUGGGAACGAGGUUGCAAAUCCUUUUCUUCCUCCUUACACUUCUUCUACUUCCUUUGUUUCUCCUUCUUCUCCCCCCUCUUUCAGUCUUCCUCAUCUUUCUCUUUCACCCCUUUCUUCUCCUUCUUUUCGUUCUUCCCCUUCUUCCACCUCUUCACUCCUUCUCUUCGCUUCACUUACAUUAUUUUGUUAUUCAGGUUCCUCACAAUUGGGUACCUGCUCGACGAACCCAUUAAGAAGCGGUGACAACGACCCCAAUUACAUCACAUGUCACGCUAGAGUGACGUACGAUAUCGAUGUCCGGGUCCGGGGAGUGACGACGACGUUUAACGGUCAUGUAGUAACUACAUCUUGUGAUCCGGACAACGUGUGCAAAAUAUUUGCUGGAAGGGGGGUGAGCAAUCCUCGAUGUACAGACGGCUUUUGUUGUCGUGGCGGCAAGCCGUGUAAUGGUCAAUCUAGUUCAAUUUCGGGUGGAGUUCGCAUUAUGCUUAUAUUGUCUACUCUGGUAGGUAGUUUUGCGAUAUACUUGUAAUUUUUAUUAUGUAUGCUGUAUGUAUGUAUGUAUGUAUAUUAAGAAUUAAUGCCUUCAUUUAUAUAUCUGUGUAACAAAUUGUGUUACAAUUAAUAAUAUGACAAUAGAGUUACAGUAUUGUUCGCGAAUGUAAUAUGUGCUUUUGCCUCAAUAAUUUAAAUGAGUUCUCAGGGGGCCAGAAACAUAUUUAUGCCCAAGCACAUCAACUAACCGUAGUUGUCAAGCCUGCAUGUACAAAUAUCGGGUUGCGUUUGUGUCAAAAUUAUUCACGACCGAGUUAUAACUUAUUACGUGCAAAUAAAGUGAACGAAUUAUGUUAUGAAUGAGAAUGUCUUUAUGUUGCAAAUUACAAUUACCCUGUAUAAUAAAUGAAGAUUUAUAACUUAUUAAUUUGCAGCUACCUAAGUUCUUGCGCUGCGUGCAUGCGAUGUAAUGACUAUUUUAUUCCACUUUUACCCCUCGUUUAUACGUUAUAUUCCCAUGUUUCGUGCACGUGAAUAUGUUUCUCUUUGAUCUUGAGCCCAAUCACAAACCUAUCCUUAAACCUAUUGUGCACAAAACAUCAGCGAAUGGCCACAUGAAAACGAGGCCAUUGAGGUAAGAGUGCAAUUCAGUCUAUGUCUCUAUUCAUCUAGUAUAUAUAUGUAUAAGUACUAGAUAAAACAUGAGCAGCCGAUCUGUAUUUGAUAUACAAACUCGAGCCGAAGGCGAGAGUUUGUAUAUCAGAUACAGAUCGGAUGCGAAUCGUACUUAAAAAAUGACCCAUCUUAUUUAUGAGUUCAUUGGCGAAGUAAUUUUAAAAAUAAACAUUGUGUUAGCCGAGAAAAUCAAAGCUGAAGUUUAUGUAAAUCAGGACAAAUCUUUAUCCGAUUUACAAACAUUGAUUAAUUAAACAUUCAUUUCUUUUGUAUUUUCCUCGUGAAUUAUUAAUGAAUUUUUAAAUAUAUUAUUACAUACGGUACAGUACAAGAUCAAUUGAUAAAUUCAUGCACAUGCAGGAGGAUAUAUAUACAGCUGUUUCAAAAAAUGUUGUCCUUCAAAAAUCUCAAACCUCGGUGCUCAAACACUAAGCGCGCAAGGUGUGAUGGGUAACUUCUUACGUGGGGCCUAAAACGUGCGAAUUGUGUAUUGUAACCAUGGCAAGACAGAUAAUAAGCACUUAAGAUGUACAACUAGCAGUGUACUAGGAUUAUUUGCCCAAUCAAAAGCCGUAACAAAAGCGCUUAGAGUUUUAAGGUUUGAGAUUUUCGAAGGACAACCUUUUUUGAAUUAACUGUAUAUAUAUAUUUAUAUAAUAACAUUUAUAUAUAAUAAAGUAUAUUAAAGAUUCAAGCGCUUUCAUUGGUCAAGAGCCAUGAUGUCCAUGAUCUAUUAGAGGACAGACGCACGGUACGCGUGAUAUUUGUAAAAUUUCCAAAUGUUUGGGUGGAUAAAAAGUAAGCCAUUAGGCAUUAACCUGUUUAAUUCGGGGGUUUUCUUUUUAUUAUUGGAUCAUGGGAACGCCUGACCCGCGAACGGGGCAUAUUCUCCCGUACUAAAAUAUAACGAGGGACUGUUGAAGAGUCAGAUAUAAAACAAAUAGAUAAGAUUUUGCCGUUAUCUGUUCAGUCAUAUAGAUAUAUGGCAUCACUAUUUGGGGCAAUGCACGUCAUGAGCUUAUCGACCCUUUGCUUAAACUUCAAAAAAGAGUAGCCAGAUUGGCUUUGGACGAGAGUCAUGUCAACUCCUUCUGUUGAUCUGUUCCGCAAACUGGAAUGGAUUCCCAUCUACAACUUAAUUAAGAUGCGAAAAAUUUUACUCGUUGUAUUAAAGCACCUUGCGCAGCUCAUCUCCUAGUGAUCUGCGCGAGUUGUUUUGUUUCUCCGGGGCAUCGCACGAUGUAUAUGCAGACAUACUCGCUCCUCUGUUACUGAUCUCAAAAUACCAUCUGUCAAAUCUAAUCUUUCCAAGACCAAACUCUCAUACAGUGGUGUUUUUCUUUUCAAUUCUUUACCAAAUGACCUGAAAGUGUUUAACGAUUACUCCCCGUCUGCGUAUAAGCAUAAAGUUAAGAGGUUUUUCUCUAAUCUUAAUCAUGGGGUUGACCCAUCUUGAACAAUUUUCGUGUCUUUCUUGCAAAAACCUAGUUAAGUGCAUUUGUUACUCGCACUGAAUUUUCGUUUAAUUUUUGUGGGUAGCCGCGCAUGCGCAGCUAACCACUAUGUGAGAGACUGAAGCGCGAUCUUCCGUUUCUCUGUGGCUCUGUGGCUCUGUGGCGCUGUGGCUCUGUGGCGCUGUAGCCUUCGUGUCCGCGGUGUCCUGCUGCGCGGUUCCUUUUAUCCUUGAAAUACGAACCGUCUAUAGACCACAGGCUAAGUUCACUAACGCUCAUACCGUAC